rnacentral:rRNA from 1 species
CCUUAGAGUUUGAUCCUGGCUCAGGAUGAACGCUGGCGGCGUGCCUAAUACAUGCAAGUCGAACGAAUCUCUUUUAGAGAUGAGUGGCGAACGGGUGAGUAAUACAUAGGUAACCUGCCCCUGUGCGGGGGAUAACAGGAGGAAACUCCUGCUAAUACCGCAUAGCCAUGAGCACCGCAUGGAGCUCAUGCCAAAUAUCCUUUCGGGGAUAGCGCAGGGAUGGACCUAUGGCGCAUUAGCUGGUUGGCGGGGCAACGGCCCACCAAGGCAACGAUGCGUAGCCGGCCUGAGAGGGCGGACGGCCACAUUGGGACUGAGACACGGCCCAGACUCCUACGGGAGGCAGCAGUAGGGAAUUUUCGGCAAUGGGGGAAACCCUGACCGAGCAACGCCGCGUGAGCGAAGAAGGCCUUCGGGUCGUAAAGCUCUGUUGUAAAGGAAGAACGGCGCAUACAGGAAAUGGUAUGCGAGUGACGGUACUUUACCAGAAAGCCACGGCUAACUACGUGCCAGCAGCCGCGGUAAUACGUAGGUGGCGAGCGUUAUCCGGAAUCAUUGGGCGUAAAGAGGGAGCAGGCGGCCGCAAGGGUCUGUGGUGAAAGCCCGAAGCUAAACUUCGGUAAGCCAUGGAAACCGGGCGGCUAGAGUGCGGAAGAGGAUCGUGGAAUUCCAUGUGUAGCGGUGAAAUGCGUAGAUAUAUGGAGGAACACCAGUGGCGAAGGCGACGGUCUGGGCCGCAACUGACGCUCAUUCCCGAAAGCGUGGGGAGCAAAUAGGAUUAGAUACCCUAGUAGUCCACGCCGUAAACGAUGAGAACUAGGUGUUGGGGGAAUAACUCAGUGCCGCAGUUAACGCAAUAAGUUCUCCGCCUGGGGAGUAUGCACGCAAGUGUGAAACUCAAAGGAAUUGACGGAAGGGCGAAUUCCAG